AGAGUUUGAUUAUGGCUCAGAACGAACGCUGGUGGCGUGUCUUAUACAUGCAAGUCGAGCGAGGCAGCAAUGCCGAGCGGCGAACGGGUGAGUAACGCGUAAGCAAUCUGCCCCAUAUCAGGAAAUACCCGUGCCAACGCGCGGUUAAUGUCCAGGAGAGUGGCCCUCCGCAUGGAGGGUUGACUAGAGAUUCAUCGGUAUGGGAUGAGCUUGCGUCCGAUUAGCUAGUUGGCGGGCAACGGCCCACCAAGGCGACGAUCGGUAGCCGGCCUGAGAGGGUGAUCGGCCACAUUGGGACUGAGAUACGGCCCAGACUCCUACGGGAGGCAGCAGUAGGGAAUAUUGCACAAUGGGGGAAACCCUGAUGCAGCAACGCCAACGUGUGGGAAGAAGCAUUUCGGUGUGUAAACCACUGUCAUGAGGGAAUAAGGCCCGCCUUCGGACGGGAUUGAAUGUACCUUGAGAGGAAGCACCGGCAAACUUCGUGCCAGCCGCCGC
rnacentral:rRNA from 1 species